ensembl:snRNA LOC120096463 U6 spliceosomal RNA
GUGUCUGGAACCCUUGGCAGCACACAUACAAAAUUUGGAGUAAUACAGAGAAGAUUAGCAUGGUCCCUGCACAAGAAAUACUUGGUGUCUUCAGCAGAAAGAUAAAUAGAU